UACAGAGGUCCCAAGCGUUGUUCGGAUUUACUGGGCGUAAAGGGUGCGUAGGAGGUUGGCAAAGUCGGGUGUGAAAUCUCACCGCUUAACGGUGAAAUUGCGCUCGAUACUGGUUGACUAGAGUAUCGGAGGGGAAAGCGGAAUUCCUGGUGUAGCGGUGAAAUGCGUAGAUAUCAGGAGGAACACCAAUAGCGAAGGCAGCUCGCUGGGACGGUAUUGACGCUAAGGCGCGAAAGCGUGGGGAGCAAACAGG
rnacentral:rRNA from 1 species